rnacentral:ncRNA from 1 species
AUAAAGUUUGAUUUUAGUUUUAAUAUUUAUUAAAAAUUUCAAUUAUAUGUAAAUUUUUGUUUUAAUUUAAUUAAAAAUUAUUUUAAAUUAUAGAGCAAUAUUUAAUUUUAUAAAAUUAAAGAGAUUUAGAUUUAGGAAUAUUUUUUAGUAUAGUAUAAUUUUGUGCCAGCAUUCGCGGUUAAACAAAAGGAUACAAGUAAAUAAUAAUUAAUUUAUAAUUAAUAAGAUAUGAUUAUUAUAAUAUGAUAUUUUAGUUUUAGGGAGUGAAAUCUUAAAUUUAAUAAAUUUAUUUUUUAAGGAUUUUUAUGAGGGUAUGAAAUUUUUUUAUUAGACUAGGAUUAGAUACCCUAUUAUUUAAAAUGUAAAUGAUUUAAAUUAGAUGAUUAAUAGUUAUGAUCUUAAAAUUCAAGAGAUUUGGCGGUAUUCUAUCAAAUUAGGGGAAUUUGCUUAUAAAAUGAUAAUCCGCAAGAAAUCUUACUUUACUUAAUUAGUUUAUAUGUCGCCGUUUAUAGAGGGUCUCGUUAGAGAUAAACUUUCUGGGAAUUUUAUAAGAUAAUAAUUCAGGUAAGAUGUAGCUUAUAGUAGAGGGUAAGUGAGUUACAAUAAAAUUAUUUAUUAUGGAUAUUAUAUUGAAAUAUAUAGUUGAAGGUGGACUUAAAAGUAAAAUAAAAAAUUACAUUUAUUUGAAUUUGGAUCUAGAAUAUGUACAUAUCGCCCGUCGCUCUCGUUAAAAAAUGAGAUAAGUCGUAACAUAGUAGAUGUACUGGAAAGUGUAUCUAG